AUGGUGAGUGUCGCCCUUUCAAGAUUAUUUGAUAAUAUCACUGAGGCAAGAUCUAGUUGUUAGUUUCCCUUCAUGCAUCUUGUUUUUGGCAAUCCAAAUUGGCUGUUUUGGCCACCCUGAAACUUUGAAACCUGUAUAUUGCCCCUGAUUAUUUGAUGGUAUCAUUGAGGCAAGAUCUAUUUGUUAGUUUCCCUUCAUGCAUCUUGUUUUUGGCAGUGCAAAUUGGCUGUUAUUUCCACCCUGAAACACUUUGAAACCUGUAUAUUGGUACUCUCAAACUAUGUUUAUGACUUCACCUCCAAAUGUUUUUCCCUGGGGCUUGGGCAAUAUAUAUGACUUUCCUUAUGGGCCAUGCGAUACGUUGUUGGUUUUAAUAUUUGAGCGGAUAAUGUGAAGAUCGUGAUUUUUACAACUGAAGUUGUCGAACUUAGAGGUAUAAUUUGUGUGUCAAAUGUAGCUGAUACAGAGCAUAAUAGAGAGGGAUGAAAUGAAUAUUUGGUGCAGGAAA
rnacentral:lncRNA from 1 species